rnacentral:snoRNA from 1 species
UUGAACCUUUCCCAUGCUUCCCCAAAGCCUUCAAGAUUCCUUUGAUGAAAUCCAGAGAUCUCAUUCC